GAAGAAGCCCCAGAAGAAGUACGGGCUGCUCUCGAGCCACGACGAGAACAUCGAGCUGGGCUCCCUCGACAGCGACGAGGACACCGUGUUCGAGACGCGGAACCUGCGGCGAUGACUCGGGACCAGCAGCACCACCUGCCUGGACUGACAGAGGGUCCAAGCCCAGUGGAAUCUCCAGUGCUCAAGUUUCACAUCUUGCUUACAGUGACUAUUAAUUAACAGUUCAAACCCUUCCAUGGCUGGGGCAGGGGAAAGGGGACCAAGCCUGUUUUCUUCACAUGCAUUUUUGGGGACAUUUCUGGGGAAAGGCAGAGCUGAGGUGUCUUGGGAGCUGCUCACUGCACGGGGAGAUGCUGAGGUGCUGCUCCUGGAUGAUGCUCAGCACGUGAAAUGGGAGCUCUGGGCCAUGCCCAGGGUGUUGGUGUUUCAGGGUGCUCAUAUCUCUCUGUCUCAGCCCUAGGGGUCAGCUGGAAGCGUCAGAUGAGGGGAUUCCUUUUCCAGGCUGACCCUCUUUUCUUCAUGCAAUAUCAGGUUACUUCUUUGGAAAGUGUCUCUGCAAUGAGCUCCAGCCCAGGAGGAGCUGGGAGAGCUCUGGGGGUCUGCUACAAAACGGGGUGGGGGUGUGAUAGCUCAGACAGAACAGCUUUGGGAACGAGUUAAAUGGGCUCAAUUUUGCAGGAUUAGCAGUCACAGGGAUAAUCUGGGUCAUUCUUGGGUUUACAGACAUGUUUACAAAUGAGAGGGGCCACAACCCAAAGGGGUGUUUCUCCAGAAGAGCCACAUCCCUGUGGCCUGUGGGGCUGGGAGUGCCUGGACUGUUCUGCCCAGCCCAUUGUAUGCUCACCAGGGACACGUGUGUGCUCACCAGGGACACGUGUGUGGCACCCAGGGACACGUGUGUGACACCCAGGGACACGUGUGUGACACCAGGGACACGUGUGUGACAUCUACCAGGGUCUGGACUUUGAGACACCUGGGGAAGAGCCAGGUGAGAGUUGGACCACCUGAACUGCAGGUGUGAGGAGUGUCCUGGAGCAGCUGAUGCCUGGAAAAAGGGGACCCCGACCCCUGUGACUGUGAUUCAGGACAGCCCUGAACUGUGAGUUAUCUCCUCUCAAGGGUGCUGGAGUUUCACUCCAUUGCUGGUACUCAGCUGGGAUCUUUCCUGCAGCCCAUUGUGUGGAUAUUUGGGAUCUGAUUGUGUAGGACCAAAGGUGAAUGUGUCAGGAGGUCGUUGUUGGGUGGAUCUGCUGCUAAAACAGUGAAAACUGCUUGCCAA